AUGUGGAUAGUUCAGUUGGUUAAAGUGUGGUGCUGAUAAUGCCAUGGUUGGAGGUUCAAUCCUCGGAAUGGACAGCUGCAUA